GGUCCGUUGGUCAAGGGGUUAAGAUACCGCCUUUUCACGGCGGUAACACGGGUUCGAAUCCCGUACGGACUA
rnacentral:tRNA from 2 species